GCAGCGAUGUCCGAGUGGUUAAGGAGAUUGACUUGAAAUCAAUUGGGGUCUGCCCGCGUAGGNNNUCGAAUCCUGCUCGCUGCG
rnacentral:tRNA from 1 species